ACGUAGGGUGCAAGCGUUAAUCGGAAUUACUGGGCGUAAAGCGUGCGCAGGCGGUUUCGUAAGUCUGUCGUGAAAUCCCCGGGCUUAACCUGGGAAUUGCGCUUGAAACUAGCGGGCUUGAGUGUGGCAGAGGGGGGUGGAAUUCCACGUGUAGCAGUGAAAUGCGCAGAGAUGUGGAGGAACACCGAUGGCGAAGGCAGCCCCCUGGGUCAACACUGACGCUCAUGCACGAAAGCGUGGGGAGCAAACAGGA
rnacentral:rRNA from 1 species